CGGCAGCACAGAGAAGCUUGCUUCUUGGGUGGCGAGUGGCGAACGGGUGAGUAAUAUAUCGGAACGUACCGAGUAAUGGGGGAUAACUAAUCGAAAGAUUAGCUAAUACCGCAUAUUCUCUGAGGAGGAAAGCAGGGGACCUUCGGGCCUUGCGUUAUUCGAGCGGCCGAUAUCUGAUUAGCUAGUUGGUGGGGUAAAGGCCUACCAAGGCGACGAUCAGUAGCGGGUCUGAGAGGACGAUCCGCCACACUGGGACUGAGACACGGCCCAGACUCCUACGGGAGGCAGCAGUGGGGAAUUUUGGACAAUGGGCGCAAGCCUGAUCCAGCCAUGCCGCGUGUCUGAAGAAGGCCUUCGGGUUGUAAAGGACUUUUGUCAGGGAAGAAAAGGCUGUUGCUAAUACCGACAGCUGAUGACGGUACCUGAAGAAUAAGCACCGGCUAACUACGUGCCAGUAGCCGCGGUAAUACGUAGGGUGCGAGCGUUAAUCGGAAUUACUGGGCGUAAAGCGAGCGCAGACGGUUACUUAAGCAGGAUGUGAAAUCCCCGGGCUCAACCUGGGAACUGCGUUCUGAGCUGGGUGACUAGAGUGUGUCAGAGGGAGGUAGAAUUCCACGUGUAGCAGUGAAAUGCGUAGAGAUGUGGAGGAAUACCGAUGGCGAAGGCAGCCUCCUGGGAUAACACUGACGUUCAUGCUCGAAAGCGUGGGUAGCAAACAGGAUUAGAUAUCCUGGUAGUCCACGCCCUAAACGAUGUCAAUUAGCUGUUGGGCAACUUGAUUGCUUAGUAGCGU
rnacentral:rRNA from 1 species